UACGUAGGGUGCGAGCGUUAAUCGGAAUUACUGGGCGUAAAGCGUGCGCAGGCGGUUUUGUAAGCCAGAUGUGAAAGCCCCGGGCUUAACCUGGGAAUGGCAUUUGGGACUGCAAGGCUGGAGUGUGGCAGAGGAGACUGGAAUUCCUGGUGUGGCAGUGAAAUGCGUAGAUAUCAGGAGGAAUACCGAUGGCGAAGGCAGGUCUCUGGGCUGACACUGACGCUCAUGCACGAAAGCGUGGGGAGCAAACAGG
rnacentral:rRNA from 1 species